rnacentral:tRNA from 1 species
GCCACGGUGUCCGAGUUGGUCGAAGGAGUUACUCCCAAGUAGUAAUGGCUUACAGCCGCGCGAGUUCGAAUCUCGCCCGUGGCA